rnacentral:lncRNA from 1 species
CAAGAGGUUACCCUUAGACUUAAUCUAGAAAGAAAAACAAAGGAACACAUUAACAAAAGAACUGACAGUGUGAAAAUUCUUCAGUCUUCAAUGCCAGUUUAUUAAGUUACAUCUAUUAAAUAUAUUAACACAUACAACAUUUCAUUUACAGAGAUUAGAAUUCAUACACUAGUACCCAAAGACAUGGGAUGCAUACCAGUUAAGUACGUAUCCAACAACAUACAAUAUGCAUUUUACCUUGCGGUUGAUGUUUUAACAUAAAACAUAAAAUCAAUGAAAGCACAUGGGGUUUGUCACUAAAACCACAUAAACACCUACACUUCUUCAAUCUGUACACCCCUGAAACAAAAAAAGGGGAACAUUACAUGCUUUAAUGACUUUAAGAAUAAAAUCAUUUGAUGAAGUUCAGCUACUUUAUUUACUUGGCACUGUGUGUCUUGUUCCUCCUGAAUGUAUACACUGUGAGAGUAGGACUUGCCUGUCGCAUUCCUUCUCAGCUCUCCAGUAUCCAGGCAAGUGCUGCCACGUGACAGAUGCUCAAAACAAAAAUGAUUUACGAAUGAAGUUGAAAGACUGCUGGGCUUAUUGUUAAGAUAUCUAAAUUCUACUUUUAGCAUCCAACUAGCUACUGUCUGGCACUGGCCACGAAGGGUGACAGGGUGUGGAUGUGAUGGCUCCCUCUGAGCCUGGGUUUCUUCAUCUUUGAAAUGAUAUAACUUGGAAUAAACUCCGCAGAUACUGUCAUUUCUAAAAUUCCAUGACAUUUCUCUAUUGGCCAAGAUCUUAGGGGUAUUUUGUGUUGGACACUCUCUGGACAAAUGGGAAAUGACAGCUAAUUACUGAACCCUUGAGAAGGCCUGCCAGGUUUGUAAUGAUCAACUAGAACACAUGGAAGUCAAUGAACAAAAGGCCACAUAAUUAUAGAUUUGAAAAAGACCUCAGAGAUCCUUUGGCUUAAUCUCUCCCCCAACCUCUGUGAAGAAUAGCUUCUACAAAAACCCUUGUGACAAGCCCUUUGUUUGAGUAUCUCCAGGGACUGAGAAAUAGCAUCCUAGAAAAAUUCUAUUUUGGAGUAGAAAAUUCCUUUGGGGAUCAAGCCAGAGAGGGCAACCUUGUAACUGCAACUCUGUAGCCCUAGCUCUCUUCUCUGGGGAGCUACAGUAGAAGUCUCCUCCCACUUCCAUGUUGUCCUACAGGUGUUUGAAAAUACUUGUCCCAUCUUCCUUCAAAUCACUAAAAUGAACUCUAUUUGCGAUGAGUAGAGAGGUUAGAAGAGUCCAGGAUUAUGGUUCAGGAAGACAGCUUCCUAGCUCUAGAUCAGCCCUUAACUCACUAUGUGGCCCUGGGCAAGUAACUUCUUCCUUCCAGGCUGGUGUGGUAUUUUCAUCUUAAAAUGGGGUGAUGGAAGGGGUGGAGGCAAGUGUGUCUCAGAGCUGGGGAAGUUGUAAAUGUGGUUGUUAGAGGGUGACGGGGCAUGGAGGUGAUGGCUCUGAUCCACAUUCUCUCACCACUGGUGCAAAAGGAUUCAAGGCUUAUUAGGUUAACAGUCUACUAAAUUCUCUGUAGGUCCAGCUGCCAAUAUGAUGCAAAAAUGUUAAUAUCCAGGAUAAGGAUGUACACUUGAAAAUUCUGCUACAAAUAUCAAAACACUUCUAGGACUCUGGGCCAUAGGAAAGCCAGAAAUCUUAAGGCAAGAGAUGUUUGCAUGUGUUUUUAAGGUACAGAAUAUAAACAGUUCUGUCUUGCAGAAUUAAUCCCCAAUGUCACAAUCAUGGAAACAGAAUUGGGUAAGGGCUUGGGAAAAUACCUUGCAAGAGAAUGUUGGCAAUGGCCGUGCCUUGUGCACAGUGAGUUAGUUAAACUUUUAUAAUCCAGGGGGAUUACUGACCAGCACAGAGGCGGAAUUUCCUCUGGGGUGAUGAGAACUGAAUAGUUUAGGUUGAAAUGGAGCCAAGAGUUCUGGUGUGCUCUAUUAUUGAUUCAACCUGACAUAUUUCAGGAAGUGAAAACGUACACUUUUCCCUUUUCUUACUGUACCUUAGUAAAAAAAAAAUCAGAGUCCGGGCACAGUGACUUGGAGUUAUUCUUUAGAGUAUGUUGACUGAUGUU